CAUGCAGGCGGUUUAUCAAGUAGGAUGUGAAAUCCCCGGGCUCAACCUGGGAACAGCAUACUAAACUGGUGGACUAGAGUAUUGCAGGGGGAGACGGAAUUCCAGGUGUAGCGGUGGAAUGCGUAGAUAUCUGGAAGAACACCAAAGGCGAAGGCAGUCUCCUGGGCAAAUACUGACGCUCAUAUGCGAAAGCGUGGGUAGCAAACA
rnacentral:rRNA from 1 species